rnacentral:tRNA from 1 species
GCACGUAUGGCGGAAUUGGUAGACGCGCAGGCUUGAGGGGCUUGUUCACAACGUGAGUGCAGGUUCGACUCCUGUUACGUGCACAA